CAAACUUGAAACAAGUUUGUAUUAAAUAAAACAUUCAAACACCAAAACACACACUUUAAGUGUGUGUUCUGGUCGUAAAUUACAAAGGAGCCAGAGAACUCCAUGGCUCAAACCCUAACUAGCAAAAAUCAAGCAAUUGAAGGGGCAAAUCAAGUCCAAAUCAAAAUCCGAAUACGAAUUAGUGAUCUCCAUUGAAAAAGGAGUUACGAGUUUGACGCUUAACGAGCUAGGUGGAGGCUUGAGAAAGAAGCGGUUAAACGAAUCAAGCGCGUGAAGAAAGGCGUAAACCGGAUGAGAGGUAAGUGUAAUUUUCGCACUUAUGAAGAUUACUCGUUUAUUCUAUACGAAAUAAUCGCGAUAACAAUAAUAUUGAAAUAUGGAUUUUUGUUAAGAUUACUUUGUGGUGUAAUCUAAUGAUGAGGAAAAAUGGUGAAAAUGGAAUUUGGUCAAGAGUCGACUAAUGUAAUUAAGGUUAAAAGCGUGCCCAUGGCGUAAGCCGAAAUGGGUUGAAUUAGUAAGAAAAGAGUUUAAGAGAUAAGGGAUUUGGUAAUAUAAUCCGGGAUGGGAUGGAUGUAUGAAUUGGACAUCAAAAACCAUGUUUUUGAUUUAAAUAGAUAACGUUGGGUAUAUAGUCCAAAUGGGUCAAAUGGUGGUGAUAACACCAUUUGACAAUACCGACUAAUGCGGUGGUCAAGUCUUAUGUUAACAGGAUCAAUUGGCGAAUCGGAUAAAUGCGUCGCCAUAGAUUGAGUGACAAUUAAAGCAAGGUACAAAACCGGGUCUAUUUGUUGUCCCGAGCCAGGUACGUAUAAAUAUGAUUAUAGCUAACGUACAAAUUUGGGCAAAUAAGAAGUGAAGGUCCUUCAUCAUAAAUGAAAGGUAAAAUGGACCAUUACGCCCUUGUAAGCUAAAUUGAAUAAAUGGCCUUUAACGGUAGUUUGGAAAUGAGUUUUAUGCUUAAUUAAAUGCUUACAAUAGGUACAAGAAGGAGGAAGAUGUAGGACUUUGGUUAAACGACUCUAUAUGGGUCUUACCGUAGAAUAACAAUCCGAGGAAAUAAAACUCGGAUUACAUAGAACAUUACAUAAAAAUUCACCACACAUAUAAUUGUGGUGGAAGAUUAUUUGAUAAAUAUUGUGGAAAUAAGAUGCUAGAAAUAGACGAGUAUGAUGUAUGCGGAAAAGUGCUUAAAUACCCUUAACGGGUCAAAAUAAUCAUUUAAGUAUAAACGAGAUUAAGAUUAUACAUAAACUUGUGAAUCGAACCUAAUAUGUUAGACAACAUUGAAAUUAUAAGGUUCAUGUGAAAUCGGGAUCAAACAGUCAUGUUUGUUUGAUAAAAUGCAUAAACGGGUUAAAAUUCGGUAAAAAGGUGAUGAGUCGAAGGCUUAAAAGUCUAAAAAUUUAUUUUAUUGGAUGUUGGGUUUCAACUCCAUAAGAUGGAGGAUUAAAUUACGGACGCGUAGGAAAAAGAAUCGGGUAAAACGGAUCAAUAACGAAGAAGUUAUGGCCGUUUCCGUAAAAACUGGCAUAGCUGAACUGAGCUGCAGACCUGCUGGAAAACGGUCUCUCUCGCGUGGCGCGAGGGAGCAACUGGGUUCCGUCGCGUGGCGCGAAAAACCCUGUUUUGGCGAAAAUUUUUUAUUUUAAUCAGUUUCGCUUCCCAGACUCGUUUAAAUACGUUUUAAGUUACGUAUGACUAAUCCAACUCAUGUUUUAUGAGUUUCAGGUAUAAUUUUAGCACCGGAGGACGAUCAAGCACAACGAAGAACCGAACACGAUCAAGAUAUAAGCUUCCGCACUUUGUAUCGUUGUUAUGUAAAAUGA